UCCAUCAGCUGAUGACUUUCUUAGUGAGGAAUCUCUAAACCCCAUUCCAACACAUUACAAAAUCCACCUUUUGUUCUUUGCAAAGCUGAAAUUCUGGUAGCAAGUAACAGGUAAGAGUUCCUGGCAAAAAAAGAAGAAAGAGGGUGCUGUCUCUGACAUGGCCAGUGCUUACAAACUUUUUGAUCGCGACAUGUUUCCAACCCUGAGCUCGGUAUUUCAAGCAGUUCUUACAAUACCUGUCAGCAGUUCCAGCUGUGAGCGGUCAUUUAGUGCAUUUCUGUCAUCUACAUACAUGGCUUAGGUGAACAAUGGGCCAGACGAGACUCAAUCAUUUGGCUUUCUAUCAAUUGAAAAAGUAAAACAAUCUUGAAGUAGCAGUGUUUGGAGUGUGUGUCGAGUCGUGUUCUCGUGACAGUGACGGUCCAAAUGAUGCGAAGUGCUGCAGCAAUGGAUGUGGACAUCACUGUAUGGCUUUAUCUAAGAUGUGAUACUAAUGCAUUGGCCUGCUUUUCUUCCAUUACAGUGACCUUGGAUAAGGUGUGUGCCAAUCAAAGUGACUGUCUAGGUUUGAUGUGCUGCAGAAAUAUAUGUACACGUGAAUGUACACCUCUAUUUGACUGGUCCUGAUCCAUAACUGACUGAAGUGCUGAGAUCUCAUCCAUGAUGAUCAAUGUCCCGCCAGACAGAAGAGCUGCCCAACCACCUGUGACCAUGUAGCAGCUAACCAUGUCAAUUUAGCCAUCAGGAAUAAGUCUACGAUUUGGUGGUUGUGCUUUCUUUUUUCUUUUCUUUUUUUCCUCCAUGCUAUACAGAGUUGUUAACUGUAAAUGUCUUUUACAUUCAUAAAGAUCUGAGUUUAGUAAAACUUCUGUGUGUAUGUGGUUGGGGUGUGUGGCAUGGAUGUAUCUAAUGCAAAUGAAAGGCAGUCUCCAGUUGACUGGCAGAGAUGAUAAAAGGUGAUUGUGAUGCCAAUAAUACCCUGUGUGAGAGUGCUUUCACUGAAUUUAAUGGGACUAUAGUUGAGGAAAUAAUGGGUAAAAUGGGAUUAGUUUGUCGUAUCAAUGGUAGCAGUACAAGACUGGAUGUAGUGGAUAAUUGUAACUGCUGUAUUUUUCAGUUUUCUUGGUUUUUAUUUUGUGUUUAUGUAACUCAUGUAUUAUUGCAAAUCAGUUUUUACCAUGAAGAUUAGAUGCUGACAUGCCAAUAACAAUAAAGGACUACUACUACUGGA